GCGGUGCUGGUGGCGUGGUUGCGGUGGUGGAGGUGCGUGCGUGUCCCGGCGUUUGGUCGGGGAUGGUCUUUGGGCGGUCUAGAUGCAGGGCGGCGGCCCUGGCGGUGGCAGGCGUGUUGAUCUUGGGCAGAUUGCACGGCUCGGGUGUGGGCGAGCAGACAUGGCCGCUCGGGCGGCAUGGAUGGGGGUGGUUGGCGGAGCGGAGGUGCAUCGGAGGGGUCGGAGCAACAGGAUACCUCACUUGCCCAGUCAUUGGACUGGCCGACAGCGGUGGCGACUGCGGUCGUCGUUUCCUCCUUGCAGGCACCGUCGUGGUGCUUCCACCCCCUUCGUGUUGCUCCAGGUGAAAACUUGAUCCGUGGGAUCCGACUGUGGCGGCUAUCCAUGGUCGUGCCCUUCUUGAAGGCACCGUUUUGGAGUCCCCGCCCCGACAUUGGCCGUCUCGCCUCUCUUCGAUGGAUCGCACUUGUGGUGGUGUUCGUCGACUCAAAGCGGUUAUUCUUUGCUCAUUUGUAGUGUGCUUGGUAGUUGUUGAGGUGGUGUGUCGGUGCCCGGCACCUUUGUAUCUUGCCUUGGGUGUGAGUGUUGAGUGCAGUGGUUGCGUGUGUUUGUAUCGGUGCUCUCGGAUGUAUGCGGUGAUGGUUGCUUUAUAUAUAAAGCGGGGGAAACUCUUCUUCGUCAAGUUCCAGUGUCGUACACAAUCUUUCUCUUAAAGUUUUAGGUUAGAAUUUCAAUAUUUUUUAGUUGCUUAGUGUUCAAUUUUUUCUACGAGAGUUUUAUGUUAUCUGAGAGGACAAAUUAAAAAUCUCAAAUCAUUUUCUAGAUGUCACACGCAUAAGAGUAAAAAAGAACACCAGAGGCUGAUGGAUAAGUCUAUGUACUAUGGUCUUUGUGGUGCUGCAGCACAUGGUCCUUUGUGGGGCUGCAGCACAUGGUCCUUGUGGCUGUUAGGAUAGAAUCCUUGACCAUCAAGGACUGGCAGUUAGGAUAGCAUCUUAGACUAGCAUCUUAGCAGCAUCUUAGACUAGCAUCUUAGCAUAUGCUUGGCUGGCUAGCAACCUAUAAAUAUGUAUCCCCAACCCCUCAGGUUGGCAUGGCAUUGUGUGAGAAAUAAACCAACAAAAUUGUCCCAACUCUCCUAGUGGCAUCCACAACUAUCAAUGCUCAGGCUGAAAGGUCUAACAAGUGGUAUCAGAGCCUCGUUAUCUUGUACCCUGAGCAUUUCCUGCUCACCUCUCUCAUCGGGAGCUGAGCAGCCUAAGCCGGUAGCAGCAGCUUCUCCGACUGCCCCUAGUUACCUCCCUCCCUCCGGACUGUCGAGCAGCAGCAGCUCGUCAGCAACAACCUCCUCUUCACGCAACAACCCCCCUGCAGCGAGCCAUGUCUGCAGGUCGCUCUCAGCACACGGCUACCUCGAGCAUACGGCGCCGGCAGGAGGCCGAGCGCACCGUGGCAGAGGAGCGUGAGCGAGCAGCUGUAGCAGCAGCUGCUGCGGCAGCAAGGGUGUCGAGGCUGGCUGCAGCGGAGCUGGCAGCAGCCAGAGCAGAGGUAGAAGCAGCCAGGGCGGAGGUAGAAGCAGCAGCAGCAGCGGAGGCAGCACGUGAGGCUACGGCGGAUGCCAAGGCACUCCGUGUCGGCUCCGGCAGCUCCAACGGCUCCGCGCCUGCGGACGACGGCGCCGACGCAGACCGCGCCAAAGUGGCGCAAGAGCGGACGGCGCAGUGGGCAGCUGAGCACGCCCGCGCUCCAGGUGAAGGUGCGCACGGCGACGGCGGCUGCAACGACCAGGACCGCGGCCUCUACGAGGUCCAGACUGUGGUCAGGGAUGUUGGUCCCAGUGUUGGGUGGCCUACCCUCACUAAAACCAACUACGUCGAGUGGGCCGCGAUCAUGAAGAUCAGGCUCCAGGUGCGGCGGCUGUGGGAGGCAGUCCAGGACAGCAACGUCGACCACCAAGAAGAUCGACGGGCGCUGGACGCCCUCAUCGCCGCAGUCCCGCCCGAGAUGCAGUUCUCGCUUUCCAACAAGCGGACUGCCAAGGAGGCUUGGGACGCCAUCGCCGCGGCACGCAUCGGCAGCGACCGUGCUCGCAAGUCCACACUGCAGGCACUUCGUAAGGAGUGGGAGAGCCUGGCUUUCAAGCCAGGUGAGGACGUUGAUGACUUUGCUCUCCGUCUCAACACUCUGCUGCAGAAGAUGGUGAAGUUCGGCGAUGCCACCUACACCGAGGAGAGAGCUGUCGAGAAGCUUUUCCGGUGCAUCCCCGAGAAGUACAAGCAGAUGGCUCGCUCGAUCGAGUCUUUGCUGGAUCUCUCCACGAUGACGAUCGAGGAGGCGAUAGGUCGCCUCAAGGUCGUCGACACCGACGAGCCACAGCCGCCCUCGGGGCCCAUCACCACCGACGGGAAGCUGCUCCUAACUCGGGAGCAGUGGGAUGCCAGCCUUGGUGACAAGAAGAAGGGGGAGCCUUCUUCCACGACAGGCGGCCGCAAGCGCGGCAAGCAGCGUAAGGCGCGAAGGGGCGGCAAGGCACAAGGACGUGCCGAAGGUGACGCCCGCGGAGGCGCCAAGGACGGCGUCGCUGGCAAGCCCAAGCCAGCACAGGACAACAGCUGCCACAACUGUGGCCGGCUUGGCCAUUGGGCCAAUGAGUGUCGACAACCACGACAAGGCCAGGCUCACGUCGCACAGGCGGAGGAGGAGGAGACGACUCUGUUCAUGGCGCAUGCAAGCAUCGAGCUACCUUCAGCGACACCAGUCGCAAAGGCUCUCCUCCACCUCGACGAGCCAAAAGCACACGCUCUUCUCGGCGAUGGCUCCGGGAAGGACAAGACUGCGGGGUGGUGCCUCGAUACCGGCGCCACCCACCACAUGACCGGUCGAAGGGAAUUCUUCGCCGAGCUCGACUCCGACGCGCGAGGCUCCGUCAAGUUUGGGGAUGCCUCAGCUGUGGAAAUUAAGGGCGUCGGCUCCGUCAUCUUCACCACCAAGACGGGAGAGCACCGGCUGCUCACCGGUGUCUACUACAUCCCCGCGCUAAGGAAUUCCAUCAUCAGCUUGGGACAACUGGAUGAGAACGGCUCACGCGUGCUGAUUGAGCAUGGGGUCCUACGCAUCAGGGAUCGCCAGCGUCGCCUUCUUGCCAAGGUACCCAGAGGUGAAAAUCGACUCUACGUCCUUGAUGUGCAGGUGGCACAACCGGUCUGUCUCGCUGUCCGUCGGGACGACGAGGCGUGGCAAUGGCAUGAGCGCUUUGGGCACCUUCAUUUUGAGGCCCUGAAGCGUCUAAGUGCCAAGGAAUGGUGCGAGGCCUGCCAUGCCUCGACCAUGUGGAGCAGUUCUGCGACAUCUGUGUGCUGACGAAGCAGAGACGACUCCCCUUUCCCCAGCAAGCGAGUUUUCGAGCCAAGGAGAGGCUGGAGCUCGUGCACGGAGAUCUAUGCGGCCCGGUGACGCCAGCCACACCAGGAGGUCGACGCUACUUCCUGCUGCUCGUCGACGACCUCUCUCGCUACAUGUGGGUGAUGGUCCUCGGCACUAAGGGAGAGGCGGCGGACGCCAUCAGGCGCGCGCAGGUUGCUGUGGAGGCGGAGAGCGGCCGCAAACUGCGCGUGUUGCGCACUGACAACGGCGGCGAAUUCACGGCGGCUGAAUUCGCGUCGUACUGCGCUGAUGAGGGCAUCCAGCGCCACUACUCCGCGCCGUACAGCCCGCAGCAAAACGGCGUCGUCGAGCGGCGCAACCAGACGGUUGUGGGGAUGGCUCGGGCUCUCCUCAAGCAGAGAGGGAUGCCGACUGUUUUCUGGGGAGAGGCGGUGCUAACGGCCGUCUACAUCCUCAACCGCUCGCCUACUAAGGCACUCGACGGCAGGACGCCGUACGAGGCCUGGCAUGGGCGGAAGCCGGCGGUCUCCCACUUGUGGGUCUUUGGCUGCCUUGCGUUCGCCAAAGAGCUCGGCCACAUCGGCAAGCUCGACGACAGGAGUACUCCGGGAGUCUUCAUCGGCUAUGCGGAGGGCUCAAAGGCCUACCGCAUCCUCGAUCCAGAGACACUGCGUGUGCGCACGGUGCGAGACGUCGUGUUCAACGAAGGGCGAGGGUGGAAAUGGGACAAGGCGGUGGACGACGGCUCGACGCCGACGUAUGACGACUUCAUUGUCGAGUACGUCCACUUCAAGGAAGCUUGGGGAGCAAGCAGCUCCUCUUCGCCGAGCACGUCUACCCCAGCCCCCAAAACUACAUCGACUUCGGUACCUGCUACGCUGACGGCACCACAACCGGCGACGCCGCAUACUCCAGCCCCGGCAGUCACCACUCCGGGCUCGUCUUCAUCAGCACCAGCUCACGCAGAGCACAACCCGAUGAAGUUCGCUUCCCCGCUCACUCACGACGAGGAGCGCAUCGACGCGUAUCAUAGCGGCAAACCGCUGCGGUAUCGUACGAUGGAUAAUCUACUCGGCGACUAGCCGGUGCCGGGACUGGUGCCACGCGACCUGGAGGUGCAGCUACAACUCGCGUGUGAGGACGGCGAACCUCAGUCCUUUGCAGAGGCUGAGAGAGACGCGGCAUGGCGCGCCGCGAUGCAGUUGGAGAUGGAUGCGGUCGAGCAGAACCGCACCUGGGAGCUCGCUGACCUCCCUCGUGGUCACCGCGCAAUCACCCUUAAGUGGGUGUUCAAGCCGAAGAGGGAUGGAGCCGGCGCCAUCAUCAAGCACAAGGCUCACUUGGUGGCCCGAGGCUUCUUGCAGCAGGAAGGAGUCGACUUCGACGACGCUUUUGCUCCCGUGGCACGGAUGGAGUCCGUGCGACUUCUCCUUGCGCUAGCUGCCCAGGAGGGCUGGCGUGUCCAUCACAUGGAUGUCAAGUCGGCAUUCNNGGCAUUCCUCAACGGCGACUUGCAGGAGGAAGUCUAUGUGCAUCAGCCACCGGGAUUUGCGAUCCCCGGCCAGGAGGGCAAGGUACUCCGCCUGCGUAAGGCUCUCUACGGCCUACGGCAGGCACCUAGGGCGUGGAACGCCAAGCUGGACUCCACGCUAAAGAAGAUGGGCUUCGAGCAAAGCCCGCAUGAGGCGGCCGUCUACCGACGGGGCAGUGGAGGAAAUGCCCUGCUGGUGGGCGUCUAUGUUGACGACUUGGUGAUCACCGGCAUCAAAGAUGCAGAGGUGGCGGCGUUCAAGGAAGACAUGAAGGCCACCUUCCAGAUGAGUGAUCUGGGGCUCCUCUCCUUCUAUCUAGGGAUCGAGGUGCACCAGGAUCACUCCGGGAUCGCGCUUCGACAGUCCGCCUACGCCAAGCGCAUCGUUGAGCUAGCUGGGCUCACCGACUGCCACCCAGCUCUCACUCCGAUGGAGAGACUGAAACUGAGCUGCGACAGCACGACGGAGGAAGUGGACGCUACGCAGUACCGACGCCUUGUGGGGAGCCUUCGCUACCUCGCCCACACACGGCCGGACUUGGCAUUCUCCAUGGGCUAUGUUAGUCGGUUCAUGGAGCGACCGACGUCGGAGCACCAGCAGGCAGUGAAGAGGAUCGUCUGCUACGUGGCAGGGACACUCGAUCACGGCCUCCACUACCCUAGGUGUCCGGGGGCGGCACACUUCGUCGGGUACAGCGACAGCGACCACGCCGCGACAUCGACACCAGCAAGAGCACGAGCGGGAUCCUCUUCUUCCUCGGCAAGUGUCUCGUGAGCUGGCAAUCGGUCAAGCAGCAGGUGGUGGCCCUGUCCAGCUGUGAGGCCGAGUACAUAGCGGCCUCCACCGCCUGCACUCAGGCGCUCUGGCUCGCUCGACUGCUUGGUGAUCUCCUCGUCCGAGACACCAGAACGGUGCAGCUCCUGGUGGACAGCAAGUCCGCCCUGGCCCUGGCAAAGAACCCCGUUUUCCACGAACGGAGCAAGCACAUCCGACUGAGGUAUCACUUCAUCCGCAGCUGUUUGGAAGAAGGGAGCAUCGAGGCGAGCUACAUCAACACCACGGACCAGCUCGCAGACCUGCUCACCAAGCCUCUUGGGAGGAUCAAGUUCCUCGAACUCUGCUCCAGGAUUGGGAUGAUUCGACUCUCCCACAAGACGACGUACAAGACUUAGGGGGAGAAUGAUGGAUAAGUCUAUGUACUAUGGUCUUUGUGGGGCUGCAGCACAUAGUCCUUUGUGGGGCUGCAGCACAUGGUCCUUGUGGCUGUUAGGAUAGAAUCCUUGACCAUCAAGGACUGGCAGUUAGGAUAGCAUCUUAGACUAGCAUCUUAGCAGCAUCUUAGACUAGCAUCUUAGCAUAUGCUUGGCUGGCUAGCAGCCUAUAAAUAUGUAUCCCCAAGCCCUCAGGUUGGCAUGGCAUUGUGUGAGAAAUAAACCAACGAAAAUUGUCCCAACUCUCCUAGUGUCAUCCACAACUAUCAAUGCUCAGGCUGAAAGGUCUAACAGAGGCACCCCUGGGUUUUAAUCAAAGAAGAAGCAAGAAGCUUGGUUGCAAUAUUCACUCCAGUGGGUAGUCGUAUUUGGCUGGCUUGGAGCAGCAGACAAUCACUAAUGCUCAGUUCUCUAGAUCUCACAUGCAUGAAACAUGGCAUGAGGAAUUCACUCAUUUAUUCAUUCACAUGAACCGAUCAAGAUUUGGAGCAUCUUGGACUCUGCAAAAAAUGUAUUCUGUUCUUCAUUCGCAAAUGAAUAAGAUCAAACUGCUAAUACUCACAAUUGUGCUAACAUUGUUCUGUCUUUCACUCACAGUGUUCAUGUUUUUAACUUAUUUUGUAACCUACCUUUCAAUCCAUUACGAGCAGGUCAAUAGUUCUGGUGUCAUGCCUAUCAUAUUUUCUACAUCUUCAUUGGCUUUACCCGCUACUUUGGCACGUUUCACUGGCUUAGAUUUUCUUAAAAAGGCUGCCAUAGCCCUAACUCCAGGAGGUAAACUGAAUGUUUCUAGUUUGUUUGAAAUUUGAUUAAUUCUGAGGAGAACCAAUAUGCCAGAAAGCACCUGUUGUUUACAAUAAUCUCAUUCUUUUAACUGUCUACUGCAGGUUCUUUUUACCUUCCAACUAAUGUAUUGCUUAUAGCCUUUUUCAACUACUAUUACACUUUUCUUCAAUUGGAUCCUGAUGAUCUUAGUGAGCAAUUGAAGCGAACAGGUGCGUCAAUACCGCUUGUGCGGCCAGGAAAAAAUACAGCUGCCUUUAUUAAAACAGUGAGUUGUUUCUCUUCCAUCAGAAAGGAUGCAUUUUUUGGUCUAAAUGUUGGAGUAUUGCAUGACUAUGUACUUCAAUUGCUCACUCUUGUAACGUGGUAGCUUUUCAUUAGGCUAACUGCAUAACUGAUUCUAUGCAAUCGCUAUGUGGGGAAGAGUAGUUCUUUGUUGAUGAGAAUGUGUCUUUGUAUGGUUAUAAGUCUUAAUUGUUCUGGUACUGUAUUAAACAUUUUGGCAAGGUAGUAUCCCAUAUAGCUCAGCUGUAAACCUUUUAAAAAGACUAGUAUGUGUUAAGCUUCAUGCACUAGCCAACGUAACCAAAAGUCUGAACUGAUGGAAAGGGCUAGUGCAAUCCACAUAUACCGUAACACCCCCUCUCACGUGUGACGGGGAAGACAAGUCAACACGUGUAACCGGAAGAGAGCGACGGGGAAGAUAAGUUCAUGCAUUGUAUUGAAUGUCGAAUAUGCAAUCUUAGGCUACAUAGCAACAAUGAAGAGUGUUACCUUGAUGUUUUGAUGAUGUCUAGAUCUACAUAGAAGAGCAGCAGCAACAACAACACACAACAGCAGUAAUUGUACAUCAUUAUCUAACAUGGAAGGAGAGCAGCACAUCAACAGUACUACUUGUACAUCACAUAAGAGGGCACACAGCAGCAGCAGUAGUACAUCAGCAUUUACAGAACAACACAACAUGGGAGAGUAGUGCUUCUGUUCUUGGCAUAGGAGAGUAGUUUUGGGCCAAAAACUGCUUCCCAGUUAAUCGGCCUCGGCUUGUCAGACUUCUUAACUGUCCCUCCCAGUUAAUGGACACAAAUAGCAGUUUCUCGUAUCAAGAGGGAGGGGGGGGGGGGGGGGGGGCAAUAGCAGUUAAUUAACUGUUAUUUGGAAUAUUGGGAACAUGGCAGUAAACACUUAUGCAUGGACAAAACCUCACUACGGGAAGACAUGAAAUAAAGCCAAGUGUACCAAGAGAAAUCAUCUAUAAAAACAAUAUAGUAUGACGGCGCCCUUCCGAAACAACAGUGUUACAGUAUAUGUGGAUUGCACUAGCCUUUUCCAUAAGUUCGAACUUUUGGUUGAGUUGGCUAGUGCAUGAAGCUUAACAUGGUAUUAGAGCUAGGUCAAUUUUUUGCACGUAGCAACUCGUGCUGUUGAUCUGCUCCGCGCUGCCACUCUCCUCCGUGGCCGUCGUUCGUCGCCGCUGGCCCUCGACGCCUGCUCUUUUCCCCUUGCAGGUCAAGGCCACGUUCGACCCGCCCUUCUGCUGUGUGUAUCACAGGAUAGGGCCGGCUCCUCUCCCCGAUCCAGUCAAACGCCACCAUUGCUCCGUGCUCAACGUCGCCUGCCUGUCGUUCUCAUCGGAUCCUGUCGCCAGGCCACCGUCUCUCGUCGGAUCUCGUCACCAGACCGCCGUCCUUGCUGGAUCCCGUCGCCAGCCGCCGUCCUUGCUGCCGUCCUCGCCGAUUCCUGCCGCUAGCCGCUGUCCUCUGCUCGAGCACCUCCAGAUCGGAUCUCCCCGCCCCAGUCUUCAACUCGAGCCUGCUGCACCUCAGAUCGGAUCGCCCCGCCCUGGACCGUCCCUGCUUGGCCGCUGUUCGUGCCUGCUGCGGGUGUCGCUCCUGCCGGACCAGCCGCUGCUGCUGCGGGUGUCUCUGUUCUCUUGAUCGUUGACUGGUAAAAAAAAUGCCUUCUUCGUCAGGCUAUGUUGUUGUUCCUCGCUGUCUGAUGAUCUUUGAUGGUACCAACUACACUGAGUUUGUUGGCUUCAUGCGCAUUCGUAUGCGUGGUCUUCGUCUUUGGGGCGUUCUUUUUGGCGAGGUCCCCAGACCGCCAUGUCCGCUUCCUCCUGUGGCUCCUACUCCGCCGACACCACCGGUUCUUCCAGCGGAUGCUACUCGGGCUACGAAGGAUGCAACUAAGCUUGCUGAUGAGGCUGCUAUUAGUGCUUAUGGUGAGCAUGUUUCGACUUAUGAGGAGGCUCUUUCUACUUAUCAUCAGGCUCUCUCUGUUUACACCUAGUGGCCCGAUGAUGAUGCUCGCGCUGCAGCCGUUCUCACUGCUAGUGUUCUGCCUCAAUUUGCUUCUGAGUUUCUGGGCCUUCCUAUUGUCUUUGAGAUGUGGACCCGUCUCCGUCAGCGCUAUCAGCCCUCUGGUGAUGCCUUAUACUUGUCUGCGGUUCGCCAGGAGCAUGCUCUUCAUCAGGGUGACUCUACUGUUGAUGGUUUCUAUGCACAGAGUUCUGCUAUCUGGCGUCAGCUUGAUUCUCUCCGCACUGUUGGUUGUCGUACUUGUUAGUACUGCUAGGCUGUGCGGGCUGAUUUGGAGUUUCAUCGUGUGUACGAGUUCUUGUCUCGACUCCGUAAGGAGUUUGAGCCCCUGUGCGCUCAGUUAUUUGCUCGUGGUCGUAUCUCCCUCAUGGAGGCGCUUUCUGAGAUUCGUGCUGAGGAGACUCGCCUAUGUGGCGCUGGUUUACUUGAGGUUUCCUCUGUGCUCGCUGCUCGAGUUCCUGCUCUGUCGCCUGCUCCACCGACUCCUUCCCGCCCCAGUGCUUCGCUGCUCUUGCCUACUCCUACGGGCGGUCAGGGUCGCUCUCGUCCUCAGUGCGGCUACUGCAAUAUGGAUGGUCAUGUUGAGUCUCAGUGCUUCCAAAAGAAGCGACACUCGCGUAAGGCGUGGUCAUCAUCUUCCGGGACCUCUACUUCGACAUCUUCGCCACCGCCUUGACUGAGCAGGAUAUUCUGAGGCUUAAGCGUCUACUUGCUGCUUUAGGUUCUUCUUUGACAGGUACUGUAGGUUCUAUGGCUGAUGCUUCCUGCACUGAGCAACCACCCUCUACACAGUCAUGUACAUUCUCGUGGGUUCUGGACUCUGGAGCUUCUUUUCAUAUGUCUUUUCAUUCUUCCAACUUAUCCUCUCUUAGAUCGCUUGAUUUUCCUGUUCAUGUACUCACCGUUGAUGACACUCCUCUUUCUGUUGCUAGUCGCGACCAUCUUACCACGCCUUCUUAUUCUAUUCCUGAUGUUGCUCAUGUUCCUCGACUUACCAUGAUUUUUUUCUGCUGGUCAACUUACUGAUUCUGGUUGUCGCGUCAUCCUUGACAUUGACUCUUGUUCUGUUCAGGAUCGUCGAACGCACACUUUGGUUGGGGCUGGCCCUCGCCGCCGUGACUCUCAAGGUCUUUGGGAGCUUGACUGGCUUCAUGUUCCUUCCGCUGCCACCACUAUCGCAAGUCCAUUCGCUUCUGUGGCUUCAGCUACCGGCUCCUUCCAGCAGUGGCAUCAUCGACUUGAUCAUCUUUGUGGUUCUCGUUUGCCGUCUUUAGUUCGUCGAGGCCUUCUGGGGUCUGUCUCAGGAGAUGUCUCUUUAGAGUGUCAGGGUUGUUACAUGAGUUUCGCGCGCCGUCGCUCUCUUCCAGUUACACGUGUUGACUUGUCUUCUUCGUCACAGUGAAAGGGGGUGUUGCAGUAUAUGUGGAUUGCACUAGCCUUUUCCAUAAGUUCGGACUUUUGGUUGAGUUGGCUAGUGUGUGAAGCUUAACAAACGGGAGCCGGACCUCAUACAUCGGAAUGAACUAGAUCAAAAGGACGUUGAGACUGAGACAUUGACUCGUUAGUAUGAUAUGGUAACUCGAUUUGUUUGUCAAGCCUACAACCAUGAUACUCUACGUCUCCUGAGACAGACCCCAGAAGACCUCAACACCUCAAUGAACUAAAUACAACAAACAAGAACCACAAAGAUAACCAAGUCGAUGAUGCCAUUGCUAGAAGGAGAUGGCAGUUGAAGCAGCGGAAGCAGAUGAACUGGUAAUAGUUGUGAUAGCCUGGCUUAAUAGGGAUGAUAGACUACUCAUAUCAAUGCGGGAUUCCUUCUUUUUCGGGAGCCCAUUCGGAAAGAACUCCAAAGUUAAGCGUGCUCAGCUUGGAGCAAUUUCAGGAUCGGUGAUCGACUAGGAAAUUGGUCCUAGGUGCGCACGAGUGAGAAAAAGACUAGUGUUGAUCUGUGGGGACAGUUUAGAUCCCGCCAGGAGUAACGGCCAAUAAGCGGCAGGUGUGUCCGGGGCGUUACAAGUUAGUAUCAGAGCCAACCCUCGCGGUUACACGGAUGUUUGCGGGUCAGGUCCGCGGUCAUGUUGUGCAUGACAUUUGUGAUCCGGUUUGUCACACGACAUGGCACAUGUGCUGGACUGGACGCAUAGACGUGUGCCAAUAGGGAACGUUCCUGUGGGCCGACGAGGACUUCAGUUCCUUUGAGUGGGGGUGUAUGUGAUAGCCUGGCUUAACAGGGAUGAUAGACUACUCAUAUCAAUAAGGAUUUCCUUCUUUUUCGGGAUCCCAUUUAGAAAGAACUCCAAAGUUAAGCAUGCUCAACUUAGAGCAAUUUCAGGAUGGGUGACCUUGAUCCCAGAUGUGCACGAGUGAGGACAAAGUGCGCAGGAAAGACUAGUGUUGAUCUGUGGGGCCAGCUAGAUCUCCGCAGGAGUAACGACCAGUAACCAACGGGUGUGUCCGGGGCGUUACAAUAGUGGUGGCAGCAGAAGGAACCUGAAGCCAGCCUAACUCCCAAAGACCACGAGACACAGGGGCAAGGACCAGCCCCAACCAAAAUGGGCGUGCGACAAUCUUGAACAGAACAAGGAUCAACGUCAAGAAUGACACGACAACAAGGGACAGUAAGCUGACCAACAAAAAACAGAUUCAUGGUAAGUCGAGCAACAUGAGCAACAUCAGGUUCAGAAUAAGGACUGGUAAGAGUGCCUCAACUAGCAACAGAAAGCAGAGUACCACCAGUUGUGAGUACAUGAACAAGAAAAUCAAGAGAUCUAAGAGAGGACAAGGUGGAAGAAUCAGAAGACAUGAAAGGAAGUUCCAAAAUCUAGAACCCACGGAUGAAAGUUCCAAAAUCCAAAACCCACGCGAAUGUACCUGAAUGUGUAGAUGGUGAUUGCUCAUUGCAAGAAACAUCAGUCACAGAACCUGAACCUACAACACCCGUGGAAGGAGAACCUAAAGUGGCAAGCACCUGAAGUGGCGAGAACCUAAAGUGGCAAGCAUACGCUUAAGUUGCACAAUAUCCUGCUUAGUCAAGGAGACACUUGAGGGUGCCGGAGUAGAAGCACAAGUCCCAGAAGAAGAUGUGCGCCCCUUGUUGCGCAUGUGCCGCUUCUUCAUUAAGCAAUCAGACUCGGGAUGACCAUCCUUGUUGUAGUAGCCGCAAUGAGUAUGAGAGCAACCCUCACCACCAGGAGGUGUGGGCAGGAGCGACGGAGCACGAGCAUAGAGCGAACCCCAAAGUAAAUCCGCAACACGUAGGCGAGUAUCCUCAGCAUGAAUCUCAAAAAAUGCCUCCGUAAGAGAAAUACGACGACGAGCAAACAACUGAGCGCGCUGUGGCUCAAACUCCUAACGAAGCCGAGACAAGAAUUCAUAGACGCAAUGAAACUCCAAGUCUGACCCCACAAUCUGGCAACACUGGCAAGAACCACAACCAGCAGCACGAAAAGAGUCAAGCUGUCGUCAGAUUGCAGCACUCUAUGUGUAAAACUCAUCAACCGUGGAGUCGCCCAAGAGCAUGCUCCUGAUGAAACACAGACAUGUAUAAGGCAUGACCAAAGGCUGAUAGCGCUGUCCAAGACGGGUCAACAUCUCAAAGACGGUAGUGAGGCCCAUAAACUUAGUGUCAAUCGGAGGCAGAACCACUGAAUGUAAGCAACAUAGCCUUAUAGUAAGUGGGAAGAGCCUCCUCAUAGACCAAGACCCGCUGGGCAUAAGCACAAACUGCAGCAUCAUCAGCAACUUUAGCCGCAUUCUUAGCAGCCAGUGAAGCAUCCGUGGCAAGAGUCGGUGGUAUCGAUGGAACCGGGUGCGGCGGACAAGGGACCUCACUGGAAAGAACGCCCCAGAGACGAAUGCCACACCUAUGAAUGCGCAUGAAGGCAAUGAACUCGGUGUCCCCAGAGACGAAUGCCACACCUAUGAAUGCGCAUGAAGGCAAUGAACUCGGUGUCCCCAGAGACGAAUGCCACACCUAUGAAUGCGCAUGAAGGCAAUGAACUCGGUGUCCCCAGAGACGAAUGCCACACCUAUGAAUGCGCAUGAAGGCAAUGAACUCGGUGUAGUUAGUACCAUACAAAAUCACUGGGCGACGAGGAGUGGCGCAUAGCCCGACAACGAAGACAUGAUGCACCUUUUUUUUCCUUUUUCGUUAUUUAACUAGAAGACAACCAGCCGUAUCAGCCCCAGUUUGAUUAAAUCAAAGGCGCAGCCGGCGGGGCCGUUGAGCUGCAGGGUGGACUGGAGCAGAUUAGGAGCCUCCGAUUGCUGGGCGUGGGAGGCUAGCGAGCGUCAUGGCUCUGUCUGGUUGCGGCUGUGGCCUGAUCCAGUGGGGGCUUUGACCUGCAGGGCUGGGUGACACGACCGAAGGCUGUAGGGCCGGGGCGGCAUAUCGGGAGCCGCUCCUGGAGCCGGUGCGGAAGAUAGCGGUGGCAGAAGGGAGUUUGAUACGGUGGAGACCUGCAGACGGGCGGGAUCCAGCGGGUGGCGAGGUGAGUUGACCUGCAGGGCGGUUGCUCCUGUACGGGCCAGGAGAGUGCAGAUCAGGGCAGAUCGGGAGGCAAGCAGCAGCAACCGGAAGGAAACGGAGGCGCGGGAAGGAGGGAGCAGCGAUGGCCAGAAAAACAACGGCGGCGACGCGGGAUUAGACCUUAGCAUGAAUUGCGCGUGCGAGAAAAUAACCCAGGGUUCUAAUACCAUGUUAUGCAACUUGUACUUCCUGAGGUCCAAAGGCCAGGAAGGCUAUACAUGGAACAUAAUAUAACUCUUAACAUUCUCUUUCUGGUGAUUUCCUUUAUUUAUUUUUCCUGUUACAGAAGAAAUUUGUGAUUUAUUUGUUCACUUGCAUAAUCAGUUGGAGAUACGUCUUGAUAGUUGAAACAUGGACUAACAAACAAAAAUCCUAUGUCCUAUUCAUAAUUGGACGGUCAAAUGGUUGUCCUUGCUAGUGGUAUGGGUCACUGUGUAUAAUCGGCUGAUGCAGAACUCAACAUAGGACGAUAAAUGCUACACAUUUACAAUUGGCACUUUUUUUCUUCUUUUCAUUAGAUUCUUCAUAAAUUUACUAUUCCACUGCAUAUGUGAUACUCCCUCUGUUCCAUACUAGUUGUCGCUCAAACAGAUGUAUCUAGCACCGAAAUAGGUCUAGAUACCUCCGUUUCAACGACAACUAAUAUGUGGACGGAACGGAGGUAGUAAUUUGUAUGAUGCAGUUGUGCGUUUUCAGACAGCUGGACAAUAUUUCUCACUUUGACUAGGAAUUAAUACCACUUUUAGUUUGGAGAUCAGUGGUGACCUUACUCCUGAAAUGUUCCUGUUAGUAUUCCAGAAGUACUUCUAUGUGAUGUUGAAAUGUCUAGGUCCCAUAUUUCAGAUAACUUUCAUGUAUGCAUGUGAGAAAGCAUGUGGCAAUGCUAACCGCUAGGAUCAGAGAGGAGGCAGCCCUUUGGGCUCGGGCUGGGGCUGUUGGCCUGGGGGUAGUAGUCCUGCCGAUCACCUGGGAUGUUCACUAGCCUAGUGUUUUUUCUUUUUGAUUGAGCCUCAGGCUCGGACCCUUGUACAGUUUUUACUAUCCUCCUUUUCAAUGAAAUGAAACGCAAAGCUUUUGCACUUUCCCGAAAAAAAAAAAAAAGAAAGCAUGUGGCACUUCAGCCAUGCAUCAAUUUUGGACAAAUAGACUUAGAAGUACCACAUCCAAUAAGAAACGCAAUCAACAGAACUGAAGCACAUCUGAUUUUGUCCACUGUAUCUCAGCAAUAUCUCACACUAAAAAUAAUUUGAUCUUAUUGCAGGUUCUUAGUCGUAUCUCUGUCCUAGGAUCUGCCUUUCUCGCUGUACUAGCUGCUGGACCAUCUGUGGUUGAACAAAUCUCUCACUUGACAGCAUUUCGGGGAUUCGCUGGUACAUCAGUGCUCAUCCUUGUUGGAUGUGCAACCGACACGGCUCGGAAAGUUCAGACAGAAAUAAUUUCUCAGAAAUAUAAGGACAUCGAGUUCUAUGAUGUCAAAAGUUCUGACAAAUGAUUAUCUUCCAAACGUGUACUUCAAUAUAAUCUCAUACAAAUUUGGUAGUAUUUCAUUAUUCUUUUCCUUUUUCUCUUCUGUGUAUAUCAGUUAGAUCUCUUCUAGAGGAUCAGAGUUCGGAAAGCAUCAAAUAUGUAAAAGAUACUCUAUUGCUGUGGAAGCUAUACAAACUCAUGUAUAUUUCUGUUGUGGGGUGAUCGGAUGUGAUUUUUAAACUUUAUCUAUAUUGCUUCUUAAAGUUUUAGAACUAAAGCAUUGGCGAGUGUUCAACAUGUCCGUAGAGAGACUGAGAAACAGAGAUGAUAUUAUGUUCAAGUCAACUCAAUUAUUUCUCUGUUUCUUAGUCUCUACGUUUAAAAAUCAAUAUUGCAACAUUUGCAACUCAAUAGUGUAGCAUAUACUCUGUUGCAAUAAAUGUUUCACGCAUAUACUCCGAGCUCUCUUUCUCAAGUCAACUUAAUUAUGUCCACAACUUUAUGCAAUAGGGAGUAUAUGCUACACUAUUGCAACUCCCUAUUAACUGGCAUGCCAGUUUACGCAUAUGCGCACAUUUUGCUUUUAGCUUUUAACAAUGAAGAGGAACAAGGAAGACUGAAACGGGUACAAGGUCAAAUGGUGAGUGCAGCAAAGUCAUCAAUCUACUUCAGCCCGAACACACAUGUGGAUGAUAAAGUUGUGGUAUGCCAAAUUCUAGAUAUAAUGACAGAAUCCCUCUCGGACAACUAUUUGGGUCGUCCAUCGAUGAUUGGAGUGGACAAGGUUGAUUGCUUCAAACAUUUAAUUGAAAGAAUUCAGAAACUAGUCAAUGGGUGGAAGGAGAGAACACUUUCAUAUGGUGGGAAAGAUGCAUUGAUAAAGCCUGUGGCCCAAGCCAUACCUACUUACCUACUUAUGCAUGAGCGUAUUCAAAAUUUUGAAAAUAAAUUGCAAGGGAAUCACUCAUGCCAUAUUGCAUUAUUGGUGGGGUGAUGGAGAAAACCAUCGUAAAAUGCAUCGGUUCGCGUGAUGGAAGAUGUGUGUUCCUAAAGAUAAAUGUGAUCUAGGCUUUCGUGAUAUUAGUAGCUUCAACUUGGCAAUGCUCGCAAAACAAUGUUGGAGGCUCGCUGAAAAUUAUGACUCCCUUUGUUCCAAGGUUUUGAGGUCUAAAUAUUAUCCCACACGUGUGCAGGAUAGUUAGAAGGUGUGUCUAGAGGGGGGGGGGGGGGGGAAAAGACAGGGGGGGGGGGGGGGAAUAGACUACUUGUCAAGAUUAAAAUCCCAGCCUUUACCCAAUUUUAUGGUUGGUAGAUUUUAGCAAUUCUGGCAAGUCUAGUACACCCUACACAUGCUAGUCAACAUAUAUGGCAGCGGAAAAGUAAAGAAAUUGCACAUGUAAAGGAGUAGAGUUUAGGAGAUCAAACACA
rnacentral:lncRNA from 1 species